rnacentral:rRNA from 1 species
GACGAACCACACAAACGUUAUUCGGAAUUACUGGGCUUAAAGGGUGCGUAGGCGGCGCGGAAAGUUGGGUGUGAAAUCCCUCGGCUCAACCGAGGAACUGCGCCCAAAACUACCGUGCUCGAGGGAGAUAGAGGUGAGCGGAACUUAGGGUGGAGCGGUGAAAUGCGUUGAUAUCAUCUGGAAUACCGGAGGCGAAGGCGGCUCACUGGGGGUUUUCUGACGCUGAGGAACGAAAGCCAGGGUAGCGAACGGG